AGAAUCAACGCUGGCGGCGUGCCUAACACAUGCAAGUCGAACGAGAAAGUGGAGCAAUCCAUGAGUAAAGUGGCGCACGGGUGAGUAACACGUGACUAACCUACCCUUGAGUGGGGGAUAACCUAGGGAAACCUGGGCUAAUACCGCAUAAUACCUUCGGGUCAAAGGAGCAAUUCGCUUAAGGAGGGGGUCGCGGCCGAUUAGUUAGUUGGCGGGGUAAUGGCCCACCAAGACGAUGAUCGGUAUCCGGCCUGAGAGGGCGCACGGACACACUGGAACUGAAACACGGUCCAGACUCCUACGGGAGGCAGCAGUGGGGAAUUUUGCGCAAUGGGGGAAACCCUGACGCAGCAACGCCGCGUGGAGGAUGAAGUCCCUUGGGACGUAAACUCCUUUCGAUCGGGACGAUUAUGACGGUACCGGAAGAAGAAGCCCCGGCUAACUUCGCGCCAGCAGCCGC
rnacentral:rRNA from 1 species